CCUACGGGGGACAGCAGUGGGGAAUAUUGGGCAAUGGGCGCAAGCCUGACCCAGCAACGCCGCGUGAAGGAAGAAGGCUUUCGGGUUGUAAACUUCUUUUCAGGGGGAAGCGCAGAAGACGGUACCCCUUGAAUAAGCCACGGCUAACUACGUGCCAGCCGCCGCGGUAAUACGUAGGUGGCAAGCGGUGUCCGGAUUUACUGGGUGUAAAGGGCGUGCAGCCGGAGAGACAAGUCAGAUGUGAAAGCCACGGGCUCAACCCGUGAACUGCAUUUGAAACUGUUUCCCUUGAGUGUCGGAGAGGUAAUCGGAAUUCCUGGUGUAGCGGUGAAAUGCGUAGAUAUAAGGAAGAACACCAGUGGCGAAGGCGGAUUACUGGACGAUAACUGACAGUGAGGCGCGAAAGCGUGGGGAGCAAACAGGAUUAGAUACCCUAGUAGUC
rnacentral:rRNA from 1 species